rnacentral:rRNA from 1 species
AGGACUAACGCUGGCGGCGUGCCUAACACAUGCAAGUCGAACGGACACCACUUUGUAGCAAUACAGAUGAAGUGUUAGUGGCAGACGGGUGAGUAACACGUAGUCAACCUGCCUUACCGUCCGGGAUAACUAGCCGAAAGGUUAGCUAAUACCUGAUACGAUCGUCGAGCGGCAUCGCUUGACGAUGAAAGCAGCAAUGCGCGGUUAGAGGGGCGUGCGGGCCCAGUUAGCUAGUUGGUGAGGUAAUGGCCCACCAAGGCAACGAUGGGUAGCUGGUCUGAGAGGACGACCAGCCACACUGGGACUGAGACACGGCCCAGACUCCUACGGGAGGCAGCAGUGAGGAAUUUUCCGCAAUGGGCGAAAGCCUGACGGAGCGACGCCGCGUGCACGAGGAAGGCCUUCGGGUCGUAAAGUGCUGUCGAGGGGACGAGUUAGUGACGGUACCCCUGGACGGAAGCCCCGGGCUAACGUACGUCGCCAGCAGCCGC